GACGAACGCUGGCGGCAGGCCUAACACAUGCAAGUCGAACGCCGUAGCAAUACGGAGUGGCAGACGGGUGAGUAACGCGUGGGAACAUACCCUCCGGUUCGGAAUAACUCAGGGAAACUUGAGCUAAUACCGGAUACGUCCUAAGGUUUUAAUCGGCCCUGGAGAAAGAUUUAUCGCUGGGAGGAUUCGGCCCGCGUCUGAUUAGCUUGUUGGUGAGGUAAUGGCUCACCAAGGCGACGAUCAGUAGCUGGUCUGAGAGGAUGAUCA
rnacentral:rRNA from 1 species